AUAGUUUGAUGCUGGCUCAGAACGAACGCUGGCGGCAGGCCUAACACAUGCAAGUCGAGCGCACUCUUCGGAGUGAGCGGCGGACGGGUUAGUAACGCGUGGGAAUAUACCCUUUUCUACGGAAUAGCCUCGGGAAACUGAGAGUAAUACCGUAUACGCCCUUCGGGGGAAAGAUUUAUCGGUGAAGGAUUAGCCCGCGUCUGAUUAGAUAGUUGGUGGGGUAAUGGCCUACCAAGUCUACGAUCAGUAGCUGGUUUGAGAGGAUGAUCAGCAACACUGGGACUGAGACACGGCCCAGACUCCUACGGGAGGCAGCAGUGGGGAAUCUUAGACAAUGGGCGCAAGCCUGAUCUAGCCAUGCCGCGUGAGUGACGAAGGCCUUAGGGUCGUAAAGCUCUUUCGCCAGAGAUGAUAAUGACAGUAUCUGGUAAAGAAACCCCGGCUAACUCCGUGCCAGCAGCCGCGGUAAUACGGAGGGGGUUAGCGUUGUUCGGAAUUACUGGGCGUAAAGCGUACGUAGGCGGAUUGGAAAGUAGGGGGUGAAAUCCCAGGGCUCAACCCUGGAACUGCCUCCUAAACUAUCAGUCUAGAGUUCGAGAGAGGUGAGUGGAAUUCCAAGUGUAGAGGUGAAAUUCGUAGAUAUUUGGAGGAACACCAGUGGCGAAGGCGGCUCACUGGCUCGAUACUGACGCUGAGGUACGAAAGUGUGGGGAGCAAACAGGAUUAGAUACCCUGGUAGUCCACACCGUAAACGAUGAAUGCCAGACGUCAGGGGGCUUGCCCUUUGGUGUCACACCUAACGGAUUAAGCAUUCCGC
rnacentral:rRNA from 1 species